UACGGGGGGAGCAAGCGUUGUUCGGAUUUACUGGGCGUAAAGGGCUCGUAGGUGGCCAACUAAGUCAGACGUGAAAUCCCCAGGCUUAACCUGGGAACUGCGUCUGAUACUGGAUGGCUUGAAUUCGGGAGAGGGAUGCAGAAUUCCAGGUGUAGCGGUGAAAUGCGUAGAUAUCUGGAGGAAUACCGGUGGCGAAGGCGGCAUCCUGGACCGAGAUUGACGCUGAUGAGCGAAAGCUAGGGGAGCAAACGGG
rnacentral:rRNA from 1 species